CGAUUGCGAUUUGAUUGGGAUUCUGUUUGGGAUUCUGAUUGCGAUUAAGAUUGGGUUUUCAAUUGAAUUCCCCCUGUGCAAAGCGACGGAAGAAAUCAUUCCCUUUCGCGCAUUUUCUCAUGUUUCUUUUUCCCUCUUAAGGCAAAUUUUUCGAGCAGCCCCUCGAGCUACCCGUCGAAGACUCUGCUUCCUACCCCUCGCCUGAGCGCGCUGUGACAGGUAUCGAUGUGUUCGAUCGAUGUGGCCAAUAGCUGUCAGAAGUCUUGCGUUGUCAUUCUUUGAGUAGUGCUAUCUCUUUCUCGUGUGUAGCCCAAUUUUAAGACCGGAAUUGGAAUUGGUACCGAUAGAAAAUGUAAACAAACGUCAACACAAAUUCAACCAGUGCUCAUCUCUCCGGUGAAAAGUUUACCGAUAGAAAGCGUGAAAAUGGCCUCGAAUCAGGACAAGAAAAGUGGCUUGAUGUCCUACGCUAUUGCCCGGCUCUAAAAGCAGCGUCUGGAGGAAGUGGAAAGGAAACUCCUUCUUGCCCAGCAGCCAGAACCUCCGACUGUUGAUAACCGAGCGCGUGAUGCUGUGCCAGUGCAGUUUGAAGAUGUUCCGAUGCCCAUGGAAGUGAUCGACGAUGCUGCUCCGCUUAGCGAAAGCGAGGAGGAAGGUACGACCGACGCAAGCAGCGGCGAGGAUACUAACGUGUAGGAUAUCCAGGUCGAGGUGGAAAUGCCAGACCAUCCGUAAGGAGAUCUUUCGUGCGAGGAUGGCUUAAGGAUGUGGGCCCUGCAAACUGGACAAACUCAUCGCUGUUUGAACCUUUUGCUGGGCCAUUUGCGACUUCACUUCCCCCAGACUAAACUGCCCCGAGAUGCACGGACGUUGAUGAACACCCCCGCGUCCGGAACACCGGAGACAGCCCUCACACCAAUCGCAGGGGGGCAGCUGUGGUACCAGGGUGUGGAAAAAUGCCUGCUAACAUA